GACGAACGCUGGCGGCGUGCCUAAUACAUGCAAGUAGAACGCUGAAGGAGGAGCUUGCUUCUCUGGAUGAGUUGCGAACGGGUGAGUAACGCGUAUGUAACCUGCCUGGUAGCGGGGGAUAACUAUUGGAAACGAUAGCUAAUACCGCAUAAGAGUAGAUGUUGCAUGACAUUUGCUUAAAAGGUGCAAUUGCCUCACUACCAGAUGGACCUGCGUUGUAUUAGCUAGUUGGUGGGGUAACGGCUCACCAAGGCGACGAUACAUAGCCGACCUGAGAGGGUGAUCGGCCACACUGGGACUGAGACACGGCCCAGACUCCUACCGGAGGCAGCAGUAGGGAAUCUUCGGCAAUGGACGGAAGUCUGACCGAGCAACGCCGCGUGAGUGAAGAAGGUUGUCGGAUCGUAAAGCUCUGUUGUAAGAGAAGAACGAGUGUGAGAGUGGAAAGUUCACACUGUGACGGUAUCUUACCAGAAAGGGACGGCUAACUACGUG
rnacentral:rRNA from 1 species